CCUACGGGAGGCUGCAGUGAGGAAUAUUGGUCAAUGGACGAGAGUCUGAACCAGCCAAGUAGCGUGAAGGAUGACUGCCCUAUGGGUUGUAAACUUCUUUUAUAUGGGAAUAAAACGUUCCACGUGUGGGAGUUUGUAUGUACCAUAUGAAUAAGGAUCGGCUAACUCCGUGCCAGCAGCCGCGGUAAUACGGAGGAUCCGAGCGUUAUCCGGAUUUAUUGGGUUUAAAGGGAGCGUAGAUGGGUUGUUAAGUCAGUUGUGAAAGUUUGCGGCUCAACCGUAAAAUUGCAAUUGAUACUGGCAGUCUUGAGUACAGUUGAGGUAGGCGGAAUUCGUGGUGUAGCGGUGAAAUGCUUAGAUAUCACGAAGAACCCCGAUUGCGAAGGCAGCUUACUAAACUGUGACUGACAUUGAUGCUCGAAAGUGUGGGUAUCAAACAGGAUUAGAUACCCCAGUAGUC
rnacentral:rRNA from 1 species